AUGGGAAAUGGAUACAAUUUGGUUUGCUUUUUGAUCAACAGUCCUAACCUUUCACAGAGACCUGUGUAGGAUGGCGUCUCAGGAUUGCAUGGCAUCGGGGCUUGUGCCCAUGGCUCCAGGAUGGCUGCUUAUUUCAGGAUCGGAAAGCUGGCCUGUGCCGGGAGGGACACAAUCCUGUCCGAGGCUUGCGGAGCUGUGGGCAACCUGGAGUAGGCCAGCCUUCCCUGUGACAGCAACAGAACAAAGCAAUAUCCUUUGAACUGCCAUGGUUCAAUGCUAUAGGAUCCUGGGACUGUAAUUUUACAAAUCCUUGAGCUUUGCCUACCAAAGAGUGCUGGUGCCCCAUCAUGCUACAAUUCCCAGGAUUCCAUAGCAGUUCAAGUGGUGUAAAGCUGCAUUAACGCUACAAUGUCCAUGCACCCAGGGAGAGGUUUCUAUGGUGCAAAAAGAAUAUAUGUUGUAUUUUACUAUGUUAUUUAACUAUUUUAAUUGUUGUAUUAUUUUAUUGUAUUAUGAUAUACUGGUAGUGAUCCUGCCAGUUGUGUAAGCCGCCCCAAGUCCCCUUGGGGAGAAGGGCGGGGUAGAAAUAUCAGAAAUAAAUAAAAAGAAGACCUGCUCAAUAUA